rnacentral:misc_RNA from 1 species
GAUGAAGAACGUAGUGAAAUGCGAUAAGUAAUGUGAAUUGCAGAAUUCAGUGAAUCAUCGAAUCUUUGAACGCACAUUGCGCCCGCCAGUAUUCUGGCGGGCAUGCCUGUUCGAGCGUCAUUUCAACCAUCAAGCUCUGCUUGCGUUGGGGAUCCGCGGCUGCCCGCGGUCCCUCAAAACCAGUGGCGGGCUCGCUAGUCACACCGAGCGUAGUAACUUUACAUCGCUAUGGUCGUGCGGCGGGUGCUUGCCGUAAAACCCCCCAAUUUUUAAGGUUGACCUCGGAUCAGGUAGGAAUACCCGCUGAACUUAAGCAUAUCAAUAAGCGGAGGA